GACGAACGCUGGCGGCGUGCUUAACACAUGCAAGUCGAACGGAAAGGCCCUGCUUUUGUGGGGUGCUCGAGUGGCGAACGGGUGAGUAACACGUGAGUAACCUGCCCUUGACUUUGGGAUAACUUCAGGAAACUGGGGCUAAUACCGGAUAGGAGCUCCUGCUGCAUGGUGGGGGUUGGAAAGUUUCGGCGGUUGGGGCUGGACUCGCGGCUUAUCAGCUUGUUGGUGGGGUAGUGGCUUACCAAGGCUUUGACGGGUAGCCGGCCUGAGAGGGUUACCGGCCACAUUGGGACUGAGAGACGGACCAGACUCCUACGGGAGGCAGCAGUGGGGAAUAUUGCACAAUGGGCGGAAGCCUGAUGCAGCAACGCCGCGUGCGGGAUGACGGCCUUCGGGUUGUAAACCGCUUUCGCCUGUGACGAAGCGUGAGUGACGGUAAUGGGUAAAGAAGCACCGGCUAACUACGUG
rnacentral:rRNA from 1 species